AGAGUUUGAUCAUGGCUCAGAUUGAACGCUGGCGGCAGGCCUAACACAUGCAAGUCGAACGGUAACAGGAAGCAGCUUGCUGCUUUGCUGACGAGUGGCGGACGGGUGAGUAAUGUCUGGGAAACUGCCUGAUGGAGGGGGAUAACUACUGGAAACGGUAGCUAAUACCGCAUAACGUCGCAAGACCAAAGAGGGGGACCUUCGGGCCUCUUGCCAUCGGAUGUGCCCAGAUGGGAUUAGCUAGUAGGUGGGGUAACGGCUCACCUAGGCGACGAUCCCUAGCUGGUCUGAGAGGAUGACCAGCCACACUGGAACUGAGACACGGUCCAGACUCCUACGGGAGGCAGCAGUGGGGAAUAUUGCACAAUGGGCGCAAGCCUGAUGCAGCCAUGCCGCGUGUAUGAAGAAGGCCUUCGGGUUGUAAAGUACUUUCAGCGGGGAGGAAGGGAGUAAAGUUAAUACCUUUGCUCAUUGACGUUACCCGCAGAAGAAGCACCGGCUAACUCCGUGCCAGCAGCCGCGGUAAUACGGAGGGUGCAAGCGUUAAUCGGAAUUACUGGGCGUAAAGCGCACGCAGGCGGUUUGUUAAGUCAGAUGUGAAAUCCCCGGGCUCAACCUGGGAACUGCAUCUGAUACUGGCAAGCUUGAGUCUCGUAGAGGGGGGUAGAAUUCCAGGUGUAGCGGUGAAAUGCGUAGAGAUCUGGAGGAAUACCGGUGGCGAAGGCGGCCCCCUGGACGAAGACUGACGCUCAGGUGCGAAAGCGUGGGGAGCAAACAGGAUUAGAUACCCUGGUAGUCCACGCCGUAAACGAUGUCGACUUGGAGGUUGUGCCCUUGAGGCGUGGCUUCCGGAGCUAACGCGUUAAGUCGACCGCCUGGGGAGUACGGCCGCAAGGUUAAAACUCAAAUGAAUUGACGGGGGCCCGCACAAGCGGUGGAGCAUGUGGUUUAAUUCGAUGCAACGCGAAGAACCUUACCUGGUCUUGACAUCCACGGAAGUUUUCAGAGAUGAGAAUGUGCCUUCGGGAGCCGUGAGACAGGUGCUGCAUGGCUGUCGUCAGCUCGUGUUGUGAAAUGUUGGGUUAAGUCCCGCAACGAGCGCAACCCUUAUCCUUUGUUGCCAG
rnacentral:rRNA from 1 species